GGUUAAGUGAAUAAGGGCGCACGGUGGAUGCCUUGGCACUAGGAGCCGAUGAAGGACGGGACUAACACCGAUAUGCUUUGGGGAGCUGUAAGUAAGCUAUGAUCCAGAGAUUUCCGAAUGGGGGAACCCAAUAUCUUUUAUAGGAUAUUACUUUUCAGUGAAUACAUAGCUGAUUAGAGGUAGACGCAGAGAACUGAAACAUCUUAGUACCUGCAGGAAGAGAAAGAAAAUUCGAUUCCCUGAGUAGCGGCGAGCGAAACGGGAAGAGCCCAAACCAACAAGCUUGCUUGUUGGGGUUGUAGGACUCCAAUAUGGUAGUCUGUUAGUAUAGUUGAAGGAUUUGGAAAAUUCCGCUAAAGAGGGUGAAAGCCCCGUAGACGAAAUGCUGACAACACCUAGGAGGAUCCUGAGUACGGCGGAACACGAGAAAUUCCGUCGGAAUCCGCGGGGACCAUCCCGCAAGGCUAAAUACUCCCUAGUGACCGAUAGUGAACCAGUACCGUGAGGGAAAGGUGAAAAGCACCCCGGAAGGGGAGUGAAAUAGAUCCUGAAACCGUGUGCCUACAACAAGUCAAAGCUCGUUAAUGAGUGAUGGCGUGCCUUUUGUAGAAUGAACCGGCGAGUUACGAUUGCAUGCGAGGUUAAGUCGAAGAGACGGAGCCGCAGCGAAAGCGAGUCUGAAUAGGGCGAAUGAGUAUGUAGUCGUAGACCCGAAACCAUGUGAUCUACCCAUGUCCAGGUUGAAGGUGCGGUAAAACGCACUGGAGGACCGAACCCACGUACGUUGAAAAGUGCGGGGAUGAGGUGUGGGUAGCGGAGAAAUUCCAAACGAACUUGGAGAUAGCUGGUUCUCUCCGAAAUAGCUUUAGGGCUAGCCUCGGAAUUGAGAAUGAUGGAGGUAGAGCACUGUUUGGACUAGGGGCCCAUCUCGGGUUACCGAAUUCAGAUAAACUCCGAAUGCCAUUCAUUUAUAUCCGGGAGUCAGACUGCGAGUGAUAAGAUCCGUAGUCGAAAGGGAAACAGCCCAGACCACCAGCUAAGGUCCCAAAAUAUAUGUUAAGUGGAAAAGGAUGUGGGGUUGCACAGACAACUAGGAUGUUGGCUUAGAAGCAGCCACCAUUUAAAGAGUGCGUAAUAGCUCACUAGUCGAGUGACCCUGCGCCGAAAAUGUACCGGGGCUAAACAUAUUACCGAAGCUGUGGACUACACCAUUAGGUGUAGUGGUAGGAGAGCGUUCUAAGGGCGUUGAAGGUCGAUCGUGAGGACGGCUGGAGCGCUUAGAAGUGAGAAUGCCGGUAUGAGUAGCGAAAGACAGGUGAGAAUCCUGUCCACCGUAUGACUAAGGUUUCCUGGGGAAGGCUCGUCCGCCCAGGGUUAGUCGGGACCUAAGCCGAGGCCGAUAGGCGUAGGCGAUGGACAACAGGUUGAUAUUCCUGUACCAGUUGUUUUUGUUUGAGCAAUGGAGGGACGCAGUAGGCUAAGGAAUGCAUGCGAUUGGAAGUGCAUGUCCAAGCAAUGAGUCUUGAGUAGAGUUAAAUGCUUUACUCUUUAAGGACAAGUUGUGACGGGGAGCGAAAUAAUAGUAGCGAAGUUCCUGAUGUCACACUGCCAAGAAAAGCUUCUAGUGAGAAAACAACUGCCCGUACCGUAAACCGACACAGGUAGUCGAGGAGAGUAUCCUAAGGUGAGCGAGCGAACUCUCGUUAAGGAACUCGGCAAAAUGACCCCGUAACUUCGGGAGAAGGGGUGCUGACUUCGGUCAGCCGCAGUGAAUAGGCCCAAGCGACUGUUUAUCAAAAACACAGGUCUCUGCAAAAUCGUAAGAUGAAGUAUAGGGGCUGACGCCUGCCCGGUGCUGGAAGGUUAAGAGGAUGGGUUAGCUUCGGCGAAGCUCAGAAUUGAAGCCCCAGUAAACGGCGGCCGUAACUAUAACGGUCCUAAGGUAGCGAAAUUCCUUGUCGGGUAAGUUCCGACCCGCACGAAAGGCGUAACGAUUUGGGCACUGUCUCAACGAGAGACUCGGUGAAAUCAUAGUACCUGUGAAGAUGCAGGUUACCCGCGACAGGACGGAAAGACCCCGUGGAGCUUUACUGUAGCCUGAUAUUGAAAUUCGGCACAGCUUGUACAGGAUAGGUAGGAGCCUUUGAAACGUGAGCGCUAGCUUACGUGGAGGCGUUGGUGGGAUACUACCCUAGCUGUGUUGGCUUUCUAACCCGCACCACUUAUCGUGGUGGGAGACAGUGUCAGGCGGGCAGUUUGACUGGGGCGGUCGCCUCCUAAAAGGUAACGGAGGCGCUCAAAGGUUCCCUCAGAAUGGUUGGAAAUCAUUCAUAGAGUGUAAAGGCAUAAGGGAGCUUGACUGCGAGACCUACAAGUCGAGCAGGGUCGAAAGACGGACUUAGUGAUCCGGUGGUUCCGCAUGGAAGGGCCAUCGCUCAACGGAUAAAAGCUACCCCGGGGAUAACAGGCUUAUCUCCCCCAAGAGUUCACAUCGACGGGGAGGUUUGGCACCUCGAUGUCGGCUCAUCGCAUCCUGGGGCUGUAGUCGGUCCCAAGGGUUGGGCUGUUCGCCCAUUAAAGCGGUACGCGAGCUGGGUUCAGAACGUCGUGAGAC
rnacentral:rRNA from 1 species